GAUUAGCUGCCCUGAUGAGAACAAAAUUGACAAAAAAUCGGUGACAUAUAAACGUAACGAACCUACUGAUCCAUGGAAAGUUUGGGGAGAAUGUAACUGUGAAACAAGAACCAGACGACGGUUACCGGAUCCAUGUAGGGACGCCGGAGGUGUAGAUGAUGAGAAGACGUGUACACCCGACGAAAGUGCCUGCGGUAAAACUCACGUAAUGAUGUUUGCUGUAAUCGGUUCGGUUUUGGGAUUUCUUGCGUUGCUUCUGAUCGUCGUUGGGGCUGUCUGCUGUAUUAGACACAAUCAGCCGCCCGCCCCUACAGUUAACAUCGAAAUGCCUUCCCGACAAAUAACCACUACCAAUGAACUUUUUGGAAGUAUAAUUACACUGGAGACUUCCGGAGGAAUGAACGAGUUUCAAGAGGAAAAUUUACUCGUACCUUGUCAAGGAUUUAAGAUGGCAGAUCUCACCAGGCCGCCGCCACCGGUUCCGUACAUGAACCAGGAAUUUGAAUCCGAAUACAUUUAUGGAUGACGCUGUAUAUUUGUCGGCGAUUGGAUAGAUAUACACACCGUCGUGGUAAAUUGCCCUGUACUAACUUUAGAGUACACGAGCGUGGUCGACUGCUUAGACUUUGUACACAAGGCCCAACAAACAUUUGUCACAUGACUGCUGACUCUGGUUUAGUGGUUAAAGGUGCUUACCUUCAAAAUACUGAGGCCCACAAGGUGAGGGCUCAAAACCGAUCUUCGACGGGGAAUUUGAAGACUGUUCCGGUUUCACUGCCUUGGUGACAGUUAUGCGGAAGACAACAUACGAAUGGGCGCAUGCGCACUCGAACAAUCAUUGAAGACCACUUAUUUUCUACUAACAUGGUCCUCAUGUCUGUAAAUCACAUGUACGGCUGGAAUUAGGUCGUUUUUUCUCGUUUAUAAUAAGCGUUUGUGGAUUAAUACCUGGAAUUAGAUCGUUUUUUUUUUUGUCGCUUAUAACACGCGCUUCUGACAAUGACUGCU